rnacentral:rRNA from 1 species
GCAGUCGAACGGCAGCACGGGGGCAACCCUGGUGGCGAGUGGCGAACGGGUGAGUAACGCAUCGGAACGUGCCCAGUAGUGGGGGAUAACCAGUCGAAAGAUUGGCUAAUACCGCAUACGACCUACGGGUGAAAGCGGGGGAUCGCAAGACCUCGCGCUACUGGAGCGGCCGAUGUCUGAUUAGCUAGUUGGUGGGGUAAAGGCUCACCAAGGCGACGAUCAGUAGCUGGUCUGAGAGGACGACCAGCCACACUGGGACUGAGACACGGCCCAGACUCCUACGGGAGGCAGCAGUGGGGAAUUUUGGACAAUGGGCGAAAGCCUGAUCCAGCCAUGCCGCGUGCGGGAAGAAGGCCUUCGGGUUGUAAACCGCUUUUGGCAGGAACGAAACGGUGCCGACAAAUACUCGGCGCUAAUGACGGUACCUGCAGAAUAAGCACCGGCUAACUACGUGCCAGCAGCCGCGGUAAUACGUAGGGUGCAAGCGUUAAUCGGAAUUACUGGGCGUAAAGCGUGCGCAGGCGGCUAUGCAAGACAGGUGUGAAAUCCCCGGGCUCAACCUGGGAACUGCAUUUGUGACUGCAUGGCUAGAGUUUGUCAGAGGGGGGGUGGAAUUCCACGUGUAGCAGUGAAAUGCGUAGAGAUGUGGAGGAACACCGAUGGCGAAGGCAGCCCCCUGGGACCUGACUGACGCUCAUGC